GCCUCUCGUUGACCCUUUCCUUCCUUGACCCAUGUGGCCAAGGAGGACUUUGUAACGGCGCCUGUGCACCUCGCAUUGUUCUUCUUUGAGCAUUGCGACGGUAUUUAGGUUGCUGUUUGUUGCCUUGGAUACAGUACAUUCGGUGGGCUUGGGGGAAUCUUACCCUUGUUGUCCGAAAUUCCAAGCGUUUCGAUGCUAGAGAAGCACGACUGCCNUGCUUGUUUCGGGCUAUUCCGUGCGGGCUUGGCGUCGGCAAARGG
rnacentral:misc_RNA from 1 species